UGGGGAAUAUUGCACAAUGGGCGCAAGCCUGAUGCAGCCAUGCCGCGUGUAUGAAGAAGGCCUUCGGGUUGUAAAGUACUUUCAGCGGGGAGGAAGGGAGUAAAGUUAAUACCUUUGCUCAUUGACGUUACCCGCAGAAGAAGCACCGGCUAACUCCGUGCCAGCAGCCGCGGUAAUACGGAGGGUGCAAGCGUUAAUCGGAAUUACUGGGCGUAAAGCGCACGCAGGCGGUUUGUUAAGUCAGAUGUGAAAUCCCCGGGCUCAACCUGGGAACUGCAUCUGAUACUGGCAAGCUUGAGUCUCGUAGAGGGGGGUAGAAUUCCAGGUCUAGCGGUGAAAUGCGUAGAGAUCUGGAGGAAUACCGGUGGCGAAGGCGGCCCCCUGGACGAAGACUGACGCUCAGGUGCGAAAGCGUGGGGAGCAAACAGG
rnacentral:rRNA from 1 species